CCUACGGGGUGCUGCAGUAGGGAAUCUUCCACAAUGGGCGAAAGCCUGAUGGAGCAACGCCGCGUGGGUGAAGAAGGUCUUCGGAUCGUAAAACACUGUUGUUAGAGAAGAAAGUGCGGGAGAGUAAAUGUUCACGUUUCGACGGUAUCUAACCAGAAAGCCACGGCUAACUACGUGCCAGCAGCCGCGGUAAUACGUAGGUGGCAAGCGUUAUCCGGAUUUAUUGGGCGUAAAGGGAACGCAGGCGGUCUUUUAAGUCUGAUGUGAAAUCCUUCGGCUUAACCGGGGUAGUGCAUUGGAAACUGGGAGACUUGAGUGCAGAAGAGGAGGGUAGAACUCCAUGUGUAGCGGUGAAAUGCGUAGAUAUAUGGAGGAACACCAGUGGCGAAAGCGGCUCUCUGGUCUGUAACUGACGCUGAGGUUCGAAAGCGUGGGUAGCAAACAGGAUUAGAUACCCCAGUAGUC
rnacentral:rRNA from 1 species